rnacentral:rRNA from 1 species
UACAGAGGGUGCAAGCGUUUGUUCGGAAUUAUUGGGCGUAAAGCGCGUGUAGGCGGCUUUGCAAGUCGGGUGUGAAAGCCCUCAGCUCAACUGAGGAAGUGCGCCCGAAACUGAGUAGCUGGAGUACGAAAGAGGGUCGCGGAAUUCCCGGUGUAGAGGUGAAAUUCGUAGAUAUCGGGAGGAACACCGGUGGCGAAGGCGGCGACCUGGGUCGAGACUGACGCUGAGGCGCGAAAGCGUGGGGAGCAAACAGGG